rnacentral:rRNA from 1 species
CUUAGAAGCAGCCACUCAUUAAAAGAGUGCGUAAUAGCUCACUGGUCGAGUGACUCUGCGCCGAAAAUUUAACGGGGCUAAAUCGUACACCGAAGCUUGGGAUGUUAGAUGUUAGACAGUAGACAUUAGACAAUAGAUGAGGAGCUCAGAAAUGAACGGUUAUGAGAAAUUGCAGGUGUAUCAAAGAGGAUAUGCGGCAGCGAAAAGCGUUUACAGGAUGACGGAGAGUUAUCCGAAAGAAGAGCGCUAUGGAAUAACCGAUCAGAUGAGACGAGCAGCAGUAUCAGUAGCAUUGAAUAUCGCAGAAGGAUAUGCAAAGAAAGAUAGUCAGCCGGAAUUUAAAAGAUUUCUGGAAAUGGCAAAAGGUUCUGCAUAUGAAAUGAGUGUCUUGAUAGAUUUGUCAAGAGAUUUAGGAUAUAUCAAUGAUGAAAAGCAUGACAAAGCAUUAAAAGAGUAUGAAGAAAUCUCAAAGAUGCUGAGUGUACUGAUAAAGCGCAUAAGAUCCAAUAUCUAAAAUCUAAUAUCUAGCGUCUAACAUCUAACAUGGUAGGAGAGCGUUGAAUGCGGGGUGAAGUCAGAGCGAAAGCGCUGGUGGACUGCAUUGAAGUGAGAAUGCCGGAAUGAGUAGCGAGAUUUAUGUGAGAAUCAUAAAGGCCGAAAGACUAAGGUUUCAGAAGGAAGGUUCGUCCGCUUCUGGUUAGCCGGGAGCUAAGGUGAGGCCGAAAGGCGUAGCCGAUGCACAUACGGUGGAGAUUCCGUAGCCGUCAAAAUAUUUAAGCAAAGGGACACUUAUGAAGGGCAUGACCCGGGCGAUGGUAGCCCCGGGCGUAAGGGACCGAAAAUAAGUAGGGAAGCAUGUUUGGAAUAAGGCGAGAAAAGCUUUGUGAAUAUAUGAGACGUCCGUACCGCAAACCGACACAGGUAGUCAGGAAGAGGAUUCUAAGGCCAACGGGAGAAGGGUAGUUAAGGAACUCGGCAAAUUGACCCCGUAACUUCGGAAUAAGGGGCGGUGCGUAAGCACCCGCAGUGAAUAGGUCCAGGCGACUGUUUAUCAAAAACACAGCUCUCUGCUAAAUCGAAAGAUGACGUAUAGGGGGUGACACCUGCCCGGUGCUGGAAGGUUAAGAGGAGGAGUGCAAGCUCCGAAUUGAAGCCCCAGUAAACGGCGGCCGUAACUAUAACGGUCCUAAGGUAGCGAAAUUCCUUGUCGGGUAAGUUCCGACCCGCACGAAUGGUGUAACGAUCUGGACACUGUCUCAACUGCCCACCCGGCGAAAUUGUAGUACCGGUGAAGAUGCCGGUUACCCGCGGCAAGACGGAAAGACCCCAUGGAGCUUUACUGUAACUUGAUAUUGGGUCUUGGUAUUCUAUGUACAGGAUAGGCGGGAGACUGAGAAACAUACACGCCAGUGUAUGCGGAGUCAUCCUUGGGAUACCGCUCUUAGAGUACUGAGAUUCUAACCUGCGGCCGUGAAUCCGGUCGGGGGACAUUGUCAGGUGGGCAGUUUGACUGGGGCGGUCGCCUCCUAAAAGGUAACGGAGGCGCUCAAAGGUUAGCUCAGCACGGUCGGAAACCGUGCCUCUGAGUGUAAACGCAAAAGCUAGCCUAACUGCGAGGCUGACGGGCCGAGCAGUAACGAAAGUU